rnacentral:rRNA from 1 species
CCUACGGGAGGCUGCAGUGGGGAAUAUUGCACAAUGGGCGAAAGCCUGAUGCAGCAACGCCGCGUGAGCGAUGAAGGCCUUCGGGUCGUAAAGCUCUGUCCUCAGGGAAGAUAAUGACGGUACUUGAGGAGGAAGCCCCGGCUAACUACGUGCCAGCAGCCGCGGUAAUACGUAGGGGGCUAGCGUUAUCCGGAAUUACUGGGCGUAAAGGGUGCGUAGGUGGUUUCUUAAGUCAGAGGUGAAAGGCUAGGGCUCAACCGUAGUAAGCCUUUGAAACUGGGAAACUUGAGUGCAGGAGAGGAGAGUGGAAUUCCUAGUGUAGCGGUGAAAUGCAUAGAUAUUAGGAGGAACACCAGUUGCGAAGGCGGCUUUCUGGACUGUAACUGACACUGAGGCACGAAAGCGUGGGGAGCAAACAGGAUUAGAUACCCCAGUAGUC